rnacentral:rRNA from 1 species
GACGAACGCUGGCGGCGUGCUUAACACAUGCAAGUCGAACGGAAAGGCCCUGCUUUUGUGGGGUGCUCGAGUGGCGAACGGGAGAGUAACACGUGAGUAACCUGCCCUGGACUUUGGGAUAACUUCAGGAAACUGGGGCUAAUACCGGAUAGGAGCUCCUGCUGCAUGGUGGGGGUUGGAAAGUUUCGGCGGUUGGGGAUGGACUCGCGGCUUAUCAGCUUGUUGGUGGGGUAGUGGCUUACCAAGGCUUUGACGGGUAGCCGGCCUGAGAGGGUGACCGGCCACAUUGGGACUGAGAUACGGCCCAGACUCCUACGGGAGGCAGCAGUGGGGAAUAUUGCACAAUGGGCGGAAGCCUGAUGCAGCAACGCCGCGUGCGGGAUGACGGCCUUCGGGUUGUAAACCGCUUUCGCCUGUGACGAAGCGUGAGUGACGGUAAUGUGUAAAGAAGCACCGGCUAACUACGUG